ensembl:lncRNA
CUUCUUUGUCCGGUUGGUCUUGGAUAAAAUCCUAUCAGAAUCUGAAGGAUACUACAAAAAAAAGAGAUUACUUUUUACUGGGAAAACAGAAAAAGGUGCGUGGGGGUGGGGUGGGUUGUACAAGGCCGAAUCUUUGUGUAGCUCAUAUUCAGCCGCUGAUUACAGCAGGAAAUGAUGCUGUCCAAUUGGAUGGGAGCCUGAUUGUUGCCACACUUGUAUCUGCAGAGAGGGAUAUAUGCUUUGCAAAAGGGCAGGCAGAUUCUGUGUGUUUUCUUUUUUUCCUUUUUUUCCCUGAGUGAAUAAUCCUCUCUUUCCAGUCCCUUGCUACUCCUCGGAAGUGAAGUCUGUUCCGGAAAGGCUGGCUGAGUGGGUAGUGUCAGUAUCCAGGUGUCAGCGGUAUACUUUCGCUGUGUGAAGGUUGAGAGCAUGUAGGGAUUAGUGGGAAGUGGUGUUUGAAGUGGGUAUUACCUUUUUUAUUCACCUCGUGUGUAUCUUUUCUUUAUUUGCUGGUGUGCCCAAGCAGCUGGAGAGUGUCUUGUCAGGGCACAGCAGAGGGGGAGAGAGGGGGAGGCCGAGCCAAACGUAUUCAUUCUGGUACCUUCGGCUGCAUAAAGGGAUGCACAAACAGGUCUGCUUCCAUGAUACAGAUGCACUCGUUGUGCUGGGGUUUGCAUCACCUGCCUCGGGAGAUAUAUGGCACUUCAUCUACUAAAUGCUCAACAGGUUCACUUGGCGGCCACUAAUAUUUGCUUGCCUUUUGUUCCGGUGACAGGCAGCCAGUGCGCAAUUGUUUUUUAGAGCCUUUCCUGCUGAAACAGCUACCCGCUGAGUCCAUUACGUGCCCUUUAGCACCUUUCAAUGAAAAAUCAUUCUCUGUAUUGUGCUUGUCACAUCAACAAAAGCUGUUGAGAGAUUUGUUUCUGCUCUUAUCCAAAUGUUGAAUGUUAAGCUUUCUCAGUAUUUACAGAAUCAAAAUAAAGAAGGUUAAAAAGUCUUUAGUCACAAAACACCAGCAAACAUACCCAUUUCCUUUGUAAAACAUAUAAUUAACCAGCUGGGCUUUGCUCUUCUUAAGGCUCAGGCUUUCGGCGCUCUGCAGUAGGCUGUAUUUUUCAAGAGUGGAGUUGUUCAGGUCCUAGACUUUCCCCUGGCAGCAAUAGUCCAGCUAAUACAUGCUGGAUAAUAUAAACUGUACUUACCUGUCUAAGAGAAAAACAACUCUGCUUUAGUUUUUAUUCCUCUCGUCUCUUUCACUUCCUUUCAUCUCCCAAUAGAAAUUCCAGUCGAUUGUUGUCUAUGAGCUGACUCUGUCGUUGCCAAAUUGCAAGCCAUGCUAUAUUUUUUGUUUUUUUGCAACUCGGGAUUGAAUGACCCC